UACGUAGGCAGCGAGCGUUGUUCGGAGUUACUGGGCGUAAAGGGUGUGUAGGCGGUUUUCUAAGUUUGGUGUGAAAUUUCCCGGCUCAACCGGGAGGGUGCGCCGAAAACUGGGAGACUAGAGUGCGGGAUGGGAGAGUAGAAUUCCUGGUGUAGCGGUGAAAUGCGUAGAUAUCAGGAGGAAUACCGGUGGUGUAGACGGCUCUCUGGACCGCCACUGACGCUGAGACACGAAAGCGCGGGUAGCAAACAGG
rnacentral:rRNA from 1 species